GUAAUUUCAGAUUUUGAUAUCAACCUCACAUUGCCAGUGUAAGAACAAAUAUGGAGAGAAAAUGAAAAGGGAAGACCUUACUAUUGAAUAGAAGGAAGUGAGGUCACGACUUUGAUCAGAUUUAUGUGUUUUUCCCUGACAAACCAAAAGUUGGGGUCAAGACAAUCAAGAAUUACAUCAAACGCGUGGUUCAGGAGGAUAUGGACACAGGCAUCAUGGUUAUUCAACAAAAUCUGACUCCUUUUGCAAAACUCGUCAUAAGUGAGAUGAGAUCAAAGUGGAGGCAGAAUUGUUGAUUCAAAAGCAUGUUCUAGUUCCAGAGUAUCGGGAGGUUAAAAAUGAAGUAAAGAAGACUUUGCUGGAGAGGUGAACUGUGGAAGAAACACAGAAUAUCUUUGCUAGGAAAGUUUCAACAAGCUUGAGUGUUGCACUACAAAUGUCACGAAGUUUGAGGCUUGCCUAGAUUAGUACAACACAAAGUCAUAACUGCCUUUGUGCCUAAAACUCCAACAAAAAUGAGUAGUGUUUUGUGAUAUCCUGAUGGCAAUUUCUGGUCCAAUAUAAAAGAUCUGGUUUUAAGGAAAUUGAGUGUAGCCCUUACAUUUGAAGUCUCAAAUAGGAUAAUCUAAUGGGAUCAUGGAAGAAGUCGCAGUAUGUGUACAUAUCAUACAAGUUAUACUCAUUCUUUAAUGUACAAAUGGAAUUACAAGAUUUUAUCAGAUGCUUAUAUAUUUUCGAUUUCAGUGUAUUCAUUUCUUACGUGAUAAAAAAUAUAUUU
rnacentral:lncRNA from 1 species